UCUUCUUCUUUCUUUGGUAAUAAUAAUACGAAUGGUUUUGCUUCCUUUUGCUUGGUUGCUAGGGUUUGAUGAGUUGAUUCGUCUGAAGUAGUAGUAGUAGCAGUGUAAGAGUACGAGCAUACGUCUCUAUCUCCAAUAAAUGGUGGCACAGUUGUGCGUGGAGAGUGGGAAGGGUAGGUAGCUAUGGACUCCCCAUUUACUCUUUACAUCAUUACUAUUUUUAAAUUGCACCUAGCUACUACAUCCUACUUCUUGCGUGCAUAUUUAAAUUCAGGUACCCUUUCUUGGAUGUACCGUGCAAUGUGUACAUAAAAAGUUGUGGAUUUUUUUUAUCAAAUCGGUGUAAUUUUAUACAUUAAUUGGUGAUAUUAAUCAAAUUUUUAAAAAUAUAUUAAAAUUAAUGUAAUUUGAUUUCAAUUAAAGUUGUGUGAUUUAUAUAUUUUAGUAAUUUUUAUAAAUUUUACUUAUUUCAAUUAUAAAUAUCACGUGAAGUUGUAUUUUAUUGGUAAAAAAUUCCAAAGUUAGGUAAUUGAAAUUCAAUAUAUUUAGCAUGAUUGGUCUUCCUACUUAUGAGAGGACAAGGACUAAAUUUCAUUUGACAACUUUUUAUAAUAGUAUUUUAAAUUACAAUAAAAUAAAUUUAAUUAAAAUAUUAAUUUAUUGAGUUGUUAAUUGAGUAUAUUUCCUAUUUCGUAAAUAACAUAUUUUACAACAACAUAUUAAGUCGGUUAAAUGAAAAUCAAUGUAAACAAAAAUACGGUUAUAUUUUUGUAAAUAUUUGACACAUAUUACACACUAUCUAACCGGUGUAAUAUGUCCUGCUCAGAGCAAACAAAAAUGGUUUUUAAAAAUUUUAUCUCUCGGAUUACAUAUAACAUCAAUUAGAUCGAUGAACUAGUGUUAUAUGUCAUUCCAAGAUUAAAAAAAAUUAAAAGUUUUUAAAAAGAACAUAUAACAUCGGUUCUUUUAUACAACCGAUGUUAUAAUUUGAAACAUUUAAUUAUGGGCAUUACAUAUAACACCAGUGUUAUAUGUAAUUUUCAGAUUAAUUUUUUUUUUAAGUUUUAAAAAAGAUAUAUUACACCAAUUAUUACUCAUAACUGGUGUAAUAUAUGUUUUUACCCUAUUUUCUUGGCUUACACUCUCAUUCUUCAUUCAUGUUAUUCUCCUAAGUUUUCUUGCUCAAAAGUUCAUUUUGCUUCUGUCAGUGUUGUUGCCACUAUCGAUGCCUCCACUGCUCCCCCCACCAUUUCUCUCUUAUUUCGUUCUCUUCAUCGUGAGAGCAUUCACACUGAAUAAGAUUCUUUCAUUCACGCUUCUAUACUAUUUCGUUGUCACUCUUGUCGUUGCUCUCUUGCCGCCAAUGUGGCCGCCACAUUGCCUCCAUUGCCGCCACAACUUCGUUCACGUUCACGCUCCAGGCUAGU
rnacentral:lncRNA from 1 species